rnacentral:rRNA from 1 species
AAUGAACCGGCGAGUUACGAUUUGAUGCAAGGUUAAGCAGUAAAUGUGGAGCCGUAGCGAAAGCGAGUCUGAAUAGGGCGUUUAGUAUUUGGUCGUAGACCCGAAACCAGGUGAUCUACCCUUGGUCAGGUUGAAGUUCAGGUAACACUGAAUGGAGGACCGAACCGACUUACGUUGAAAAGUGAGCGGAUGAACUGAGGGUAGCGGAGAAAUUCCAAUCGAACCUGGAGAUAGCUGGUUCUCUCCGAAAUAGCUUUAGGGCUAGCCUCAAGUGAUGAUUAUUGGAGGUAGAGCACUGUUUGGACGAGGGGCCCCUCUCGGGUUACCGAAUUCAGACAAACUCCGAAUGCCAAUUAAUUUAACUUGGGAGUCAGAACAUGGGUGAUAAGGUCCGUGUUCGAAAGGGAAACAGCCCAGACCACCAGCUAAGGUCCCAAAAUAUAUGUUAAGUGGAAAAGGAUGUGGCGUUGCCCAGACAACUAGGAUGUUGGCUUAGAAGCAGCCAUCAUUUAAAGAGUGCGUAAUAGCUCACUAGUCGAGUGACACUGCGCCGAAAAUGUACCGGGGCUAAACAUAUUACCGAAGCUGUGGAUUGUCCUUUGGACAAUGGUAGGAGAGCGUUCUAAGGGCGUUGAAGCAUGAUCGUAAGGACAUGUGGAGCGCUUAGAAGUGAGAAUGCCGGUGUGAGUAGCGAAAGACGGGUGAGAAUCCCGUCCACCGAUUGACUAAGGUUUCCAGAGGAAGGCUCGUCCGCUCUGGGUUAGUCGGGUCCUAAGCUGAGGCCGACAGGCGUAGGCGAUGGAUAACAGGUUGAUAUUCCUGUACCACCUAUAAUCGUUUUAAUCGAUGGGGGGACGCAGUAGGAUAGGCGAAGCGUGCGAUUGGAUUGCACGUCUAAGCAGUAAGGCUGAGUAUUAGGCAAAUCCGGUACUCGUUAAGGCUGAGCUGUGAUGGGGAGAAGACAUUGUGUCUUCGAGUCGUUGAUUUCACACUGCCGAGAAAAGCCUCUAGAUAGAAAAUAGGUGCCCGUACCGCAAACCGACACAGGUAGUCAAGAUGAGAAUUCUAAGGUGAGCGAGCGAACUCUCGUUAAGGAACUCGGCAAAAUGACCCCGUAACUUCGGGAGAAGGGGUGCUCUUUAGGGUUAACGCCCAGAAGAGCCGCAGUGAAUAGGCCCAAGCGACUGUUUAUCAAAAACACAGGUCUCUGCUAAACCGUAAGGUGAUGUAUAGGGGCUGACGCCUGCCCGGUGCUGGAAGGUUAAGAGGAGUGGUUAGCUUCUGCGAAGCUACGAAUCGAAGCCCCAGUAAACGGCGGCCGUAACUAUAACGGUCCUAAGGUAGCGAAAUUCCUUGUCGGGUAAGUUCCGACCCGCACGAAAGGCGUAACGAUUUGGGCACUGUCUCAACGAGAGACUCGGUGAAAUCAUAGUACCUGUGAAGAUGCAGGUUACCCGCGACAGGACGGAAAGACCCCGUGGAGCUUUACUGUAGCCUGAUAUUGAAAUUCGGCACAGCUUGUACAGGAUAGGUAGGAGCCUUUGAAACGUGA